UUGAUCGAUUUGGACCCGUAGAUCCAACAGUGCAAGGUGAAGCCCAAAUCAGCGAUGGGGUCAUGGAUUCGUACUAGUUUGAUUUUUCACUACAGCCGGCGUUCCAUCUUGGUUAAGACCUUCGUCCUAAAGUUCUUCUCUAUCCGGCGGACUUCUUUGCGCUGAAUUCGAGUUUUCUGCUUCAGUAUGGCUAAGGAGGUUUACACCAGGGAAGAGUUGCUUGCGCUGUUGCAGGAUCUUCAAAUUGAUUUUUCCAAGUACGAACAUCCGGCUGUAUUGACAGUUGAAGCUCAGGCAAAAUAUGUUGGAAAUUUGGGGGGUGGUAUCAGUAAGAAUCUGUUUUUGAAGGACAAAAAGAAUAGAUACUAUGUAGUUUCAGCAUUGUCACAGACCAAAGUGGACCUGAAAGUUCUAUCUGCAAGACUUGGUUUGGGGAAAGGAGGUCUGAGAAUGGCUCCCGAGGAAGCAUUGGGAGAGAAACUUAAGGUGUCGUUGGGUUGCGUUACUCCAUUUGCACUCAUCAAUAAAACAGCACGAGAUGUUGCUUUAUUGUUAGACCAAGGAUUUAAAAGCCAGGAAUUCUGCUUCUUCCACCCUCUGUCAAAUGAAACAUCAAUAUCUCUUAACACCACCAAUCUCGACAAGUUCCUUAAAUCAAUCGGGAGAGACCCUUCAUACAUUGACUUGGAGGCUAAUCCUUCUGUAGGAAAGGAUCAACCCCCCGAUCUUGCUGGACUUGUUCCUUCUGGUUCUGCCUUUGUGCCCGAUACUCCAGAGAAAACAUCUUCAUGUCCUGGUUCUAAUGAAAAUCAAGGUGUUGCGGACAAGAAGUCUAAGGCAGCUGCAGUGAAGCCAUCUUCUGCUGUGAAAGCUGGAAAGGACAAAGCCGUACCAAAAGCACGACCAUCCUAUGCAAAUGUGGAGAAAUUUGUCGAAGAGAUUCUUGAAAAGACAUCGACAAUAGUGCUUUCAGAGCUCACAGAGGAGACUGUUAAAAAACAUGGAGAACAGUUGGGAGAUGUGGUGUCAAACAACAUUAAGAAACAUCUUAGCUCGGAGUUGAACAAUCUUUCUAUGAUAUUUAAAAACAAUGCAUACACAGAAGGGUUCCAUGCUGGAUCUUCCCAUAAAGUGAAGCAUACGUGCUGAUAUUUUUGUCUGCUUGUGUUUCCAAUUGAAACUGAAGAAGAGAACUCUGACAAAAGGCCGGAUAAUGACCACCAGCUCAGUAUUGCUGAUGGGUCGCACGGUUCAGGUAAUUUAUUUAAUUUUAAUGAUCAGGGUGAAUUAUGAAUUUUGGUUUCAUAUCAGCACUUGACGACCUUCUUGAAGGAGGUAUACAAACACGUUUGUGCCCCUGAAAUUUGCGCCAACCUUUAAUCUACCAAUAAGGUAUAGACUAAGUACCUUGUAUCAUUUAGGCUAGUUUAGUUUAUCACUAUUCGUGCAUUUACAUGUUUUUCUUCAAUGCUUAUUCUUGAAUCUUUAUUGCAUAAGAUGGUAUAAAAUAGGAUAGAAAUUACAUCCUGCCCACGUAAUGGAACAUGGAUAAUGUUUUAGUUUUGAACAUGGAACAUGCUUUUUUGAGCAAACACAAUCAGGUGUGAGAUAUGGUAUGUUGGAGAAUGUGAAUCUUUUAGGACAAUCUCAAUCCUGCAGAUUAAAGAGUUCAAGUAAAAUACGAGUUAUUUGCAGCAUUACCCUUGACAUUAGAACGGCUAAGGAAGAGAGGUAGAAUGAAAUAGAAUAUCUCGAAUCAGAAUCUGUGAUUGAAAAAAUAUAUUAUUUCUUUUACCAGAAAUAUGUUUACUUUUUCAAAAUAACUUCUUAUGUUUUUAUUUCCAGUUUGGAAAAUUUGAUUAAAUUUUUAUUUUCUAUUUAUUUCUAAUACUACCUUAUCAAAUAUAGAGUGGAGGUAUAUGAACCUAUAAUUUCUUUAGAAGUAGGGAUGCCUUGAUCACCAAGUUUACUAUGUGCCUUACUUUUCUUUUUUGUCAUAUGGAGUAGCUUUCUUUCGUUUUUUUUUUCCUAUUUCUAGAAAGUAUUAUCAAUUAUUUUCUUUUCCCGAAGUUUUAGAAUAAUGGUAAAUAGGGAAAUGAUGCUGAGAUAUUUGCUUAGUUUUGAACAUGAUUUUGCAGCCCAUUAGACAGAUAAUGACUGUUAAGAAUACACCAUCAUUGGGGAGACCCUUAAUUAUUGUAUUGCAUCUUUAGUGUAUGCUCAUACAAGCUUUUAUUUAAUU